UACAGGGGGUGCAAACGUUGCUCGGAAUCAUUGGGCGUAAAGCGCACGUAGGCGGUUCGUUAUGUCGGAUGUGAAAGCCCUUGGCUUAACCGAGGAAGUGCAUCCGAAACUGGCGAGCUAGAGUACGAAAGAGGAUCGCGGAAUUCCCGGUGUAGAGGUGAAAUUCGUAGAUAUCGGGAGGAACACCGGUGGCGAAGGCGGCAUCCUGGACCGGCACUGACACUGAGGAGCGAAAGCCAGGGGAGCAAAACGGGG
rnacentral:rRNA from 1 species